rnacentral:misc_RNA from 1 species
GUGAAUCAUCGAAUCUUUGAACGCAAAUGGCACUCUCUGGUAUUCCGGAGAGUAUGCCUGUUUGAGGGUCAGUUUAAAUAAAAAUCGGUGUGGUUGCUGCCUUUCGUUGUGACGCACCGGAUUUUGGUCGUCUUGCCUUCGGUUAAGUGACCUAAAAUUUUUCAUUAUUUUUUCUAACGUAUUUAAAUGAUUUUACGUACGGUUGCGAUAUCGAAUACUUUGUUCUUGC